UCUGAACUCGCUUCCACGUUUUCCCAUCUUAAUGUUUUAAAUAAAACGCGAGGUCGUCAUGGCUAGGAUCGCGGGGGCAAUUCUUAGCGAAGUUUACUCUCUUUUAAAUAUCCGCGCAACCGAAAAAAACGAAUCGUGGGUAAAGACGUGCGUUUAGAACUCUACGACUGUCGGAAUUACGUCGCGCAUGUGCACAUGGUCAGCAUGUCGUCAAGUAUACCAGGUGUAACAAUUUAUCAUUCUACCUGGCCACUGCACUCGCUACAGAGCUGAAGCGUGGAGUGAAGAGGCGCCGCUGCUCUUUUGAACAGGUGACCCACAAACUGGUGCGGCACGGUUUCCGGCCCUGUUAAUAAGAAUUAUACGUUACCUGCUCCCUUCGUGAGCCCUCCCUCGACGUGGGGGAGGGUGGCAAAGCACGUGUUGGCUGUCCUGCUUAUGCGGCUAAUCGAGUCCGACCAACAGCGUCUCGGAGAAUAGACCUGAAAACGAGAGCUAACUGGUGUCAGUGUCGUCACUAUCAGGAGACCGACGCGAAGAAUGUGAAGCAGCCGAAAAGUGUCUCUACUAACCUCAAACCCCCUAAUACUCCAUCGAUGAAGCUAUAAGUUUACGCGCUUUUUUGCUACACUCUGCGCUUAAAAAUUCGCAUUGUCUAUUGCGUUUAGAGCCUAUUUUAAAAUAAAAUUUUCUAAACUUUGUAGAAAAUUUUAAAGAACUAAAAUAAUAAUGUGUAUGAAUUAUUUUUUCCCGACAAAUAGCCGUACACUUGCUUCUCAGGCAUUGUAUGAUGAUUUAAAAUGUAAAAACAAAUGCUGAACAAUAAUAAACUAAUUUUAUUUCAAAUACUUUUAUUGUUAGCAUUGAUAGGUUCUCUCUACCUCCGUAUAUAAGAAAUUAUCAAUAAUAUCUUUACAUAUAUUUGCAAUAAUAUCUUUAAAGUUAUAUCAUCUGAGUUGUAAGUGUAUAAAAUAAUGUAGAUACUUUUAUACUAUUUACUAUAAUGGGCAUAUUCAAGGACAAUAUGUGCCAGAAAGGACAUUAUUCAACAUUAUUAAUUUUUGAUAAAUUGAUUAAAAUACAUUAUCAGAA